CUAGCAAAAGUGCAUGAUGCGAUCAACCCAGCCAGGUCUCUGGGAGGAGGUGUCAAAGCUCCUGAACCAGACAGCAGCAACUCGUUUCCAGGGCUGAGAGCCACCUCCACAGGAUCACCUGGGUGGCUGCGUGUACUCAGGGUGUCACACUGUGGGCUUAGCCUCAAGUUUCAGAGGAAGAGCUUGUUUGACCUUUGGAUAAACAACUAAAACCUUCUAGAAGCACCUCAAAGGGACGCAAGAACGCACGUGCUAUUUGAAUAGCAGAAAAGUUUUACGUGGAUCCCUGACAGUAUACAAAGUGUUAUUUAUAUGAGCGCUUAA